ACAGAGGUGGCAAGCGUUACUCGGAAUUAUUGGGUGUAAAGGGCAGGUAGGUGGCUCUGUAAGUGAGGGGUGAAAUCCCACGGUUCAAUCGUGGAACAGCCUUUCAAACUGUAGAGCUUGAGAGAAACAGAGGAAGACGGAAUUCCCGGUGUACGGUUGAAAUCUGUAGAUAUCGGGAAGAACACCAACGGCGAAGGCAAUCUUCUGGGUUUCUUCUGACACUGAGCUGCGAAAGCUAGUGGAGCAAACAG
rnacentral:rRNA from 1 species